CUAACAUAUCAAUAAGCGGAGGAAAAGAAACUAACAAGGAUUCCCCUAGUAACUGCGAGUGAAGCGGGAAAAGCUCAAAUUUAAAAUCUGGCAGUCUCUGGCUGUCCGAGUUGUAAUCUAGAGAAGUAAUGCCCGUGCUGGACCGUGUAUAAGUCUCCUGGGAUGGGGCGUCAUAGAGGGUGAGAAUCCCGUCUUUGACACGGACUACCAGUGCAUUGUGGUAUGCUCUCAAAGAGUCGAGUUGUUUGGGAAUGCAGCUCAAAAUGGGUGGUAAAUUCCAUCUAAAGCUAAAUAUUGGCGAGAGACCGAUAGCGAACAAGUACCGUGAGGGAAAGAUGAAAAGAACUUUGGAAAGAGAGUUAAACAGUACGUGAAAUUGCUGAAAGGGAAACGCUUGAAGUCAGUCGCGUUGGCUGGAAAUCAGCCUUGCUUUUGCAUGGUGUACUUUCUGGUUGACGGGUCAGCAUCAAUUUUGACCGCUGGAAAAAGGCCUGGGGAAUGUGGCAGCUUCGGCUGUGUUAUAGCCCCUAGUCACAUACAGUGGUUGGGAUUGAGGAACUCAGCACGCCGCAAGGCCGGGUUUCGACCACGAUCGUGCUUAGGAUGCUGGCAUAAUGGCUUUAAGCGACCCGUCUUGAAACACGGACCAAGGAGUCUAACAUGCCUGCGAGUAUUUGGGUGGAAAACUCAAGUGCGUAAUGAAAGUGAAAGUUGAGAUCCCUGUCGUGGGGAGCAUCGACGCCCGGACCAGAACUUUUGGGACGGAUCCGCGGUGGAGCAUGUAUGUUGGGACCCGAAAGAUGGUGAACUAUGCCUGAAUAGGGUGAAGCCAGAGGAAACUCUGGUGGAGGCUCGUAGCGAUUCUGACGUGCAAAUCGAUCGUCAAAUUUGGGUAUAGGGGCGAAAGACUAAUCGAACCAUCUAGUAGCUGGUUCCUGCCG
rnacentral:rRNA from 1 species